rnacentral:rRNA from 1 species
AUUGAACGCUGGCGGCAUGCUUUACACAUGCAAGUCGAACGGUAACGGGGACUUCGGUCUGCCGACGAGUGGCGAACGGGUGAGUAAUAUAUCGGAACGUGCCCAGUAAUGGGGGAUAGCUCGGCGAAAGCCGGAUUAAUACCGCAUACGCCCUGAGGGGGAAAGGUGGGGGAGUCUUCGGACCUCACGUUAUUGGAGCGGCCGAUAUCAGAUUAGCUAGUUGGUGGGGUAAAGGCCUACCAAGGCGACGAUCUGUAGCUGGUCUGAGAGGAUGAUCAGCCACACUGGGACUGAGACACGGCCCAGACUCCUACGGGAGGCAGCAGUGGGGAAUUUUGGACAAUGGGCGAAAGCCUGAUCCAGCCAUGCCGCGUGAGUGAAGAA